rnacentral:rRNA from 1 species
AUGGCGGAGUGGUACAUGGCGUCGUGGAAGCUCUCCGUCUCCACCAUCCGCGCCCGCAGCUGCCGCGCCUUCUCCUCCGUCAGGCCGCCCACGAACGACCUCCCACUUGCCUCCCUCGGGGGCUCCCGCCGCGCGGACCCGCCCGGCGCCCACGGAGCUAGAGGCGGAAGCGGCGCGGGGCCCGAAAGUCGUUCCCGUAGAUGGGCGGGGGGAGAAGGAGACGGCGGAUGCUGA